rnacentral:rRNA from 1 species
GACGUAGGGGGCGAGCGUUGUCCGGAUUUAUUGGGCGUAAAGAGCUCGUAGGCGGCUCAGUAAGUCAGGUGUGAAAACUCCAGGCUCAACCUGGAGACGCCACCUGAUACUGCUGUGGCUAGAGUCCGGUAGGGGAGCAUGGAAUUCCUGGUGUAGCGGUGAAAUGCGCAGAUAUCAGGAGGAACACCAGUGGCGAAGGCGGUGCUCUGGGCCGGAACUGACGCUGAGGAGCGAAAGCGUGGGGAGCAAACAGG